rnacentral:rRNA from 1 species
UACGUAGGGGGCAAGCGUUGUCCGGAUUUAUUGGGCGUAAAGAGCGUGUAGGCGGCUUUGCAGGUCCGCUGUGAAAACUCGAGGCUCAACCUCGAGCUGUCGGUGGAAACCGUAAAGCUAGAGUCCGGAAGAGGAGAGUGGAAUUCCCGGUGUAGCGGUGAAAUGCGCAGAUAUCGGGAAGAACACCAAAGGCGAAGGCAGUGUCCUGGGUGGUCGCUGACGCUGAGAGGCGAAAGCCAGGGGAGCGAACGGG